UCAAUGAGCGUUUCGAUGUCACUGGUACAGGGUGGUGCUGCCGGUGGUGCGCCACAGGGCGCCAGCGCAAUCUUGGCCGCAGCGGCUCCCUACUAUCAACCGCCGGCUGUUCCCCAGGAUGUCCAGCCGGAUCGUCCCAUCGGCUACGGAGCAUUCGGAGUUGUCUGGGCCGUCACAGAUCCGCGGGAUGGACGACGAGUGGCCUUGAAGAAGCUGCCAAAUGUGUUCCAAUCGUUGGUCUCAUCGAAGCGCGUUUUCCGCGAGCUGAAAAUGCUGUGCUUCUUCAAGCAUGAGAAUGUUCUUUCAGCUCUGGACAUUCUACAGCCACCGCAUUUGGAUUUCUUUCAAGAAAUCUAUGUGAUAACGGAGCUGCUGCAAUCGGAUCUGCACAAGAUAAUCGUGUCGCCGCAGCACCUGUCCGCCGACCACAUUAAGGUGUUCCUCUACCAGAUCCUGCGCGGCCUCAAGUAUCUGCACUCGGCCCGCAUCCUGCAUCGCGACAUCAAGCCGGGCAAUCUGCUCGUGAACUCGAAUUGUGUGCUCAAGAUCUGUGACUUUGGAUUGGCCCGCGUCGAGGAGCCGGAUCAGGCCAAGCACAUGACCCAGGAGGUGGUCACCCAGUACUAUCGCGCACCGGAGAUCCUGAUGGGCGCACGCCACUACUCGUCGGCGGUGGAUGUGUGGUCGGUGGGCUGCAUUUUCGGCGAACUCUUGGGCCGUCGCAUCCUCUUUCAGGCACAGAAUCCCGUGCAGCAGCUGGAGCUGAUUACGGAGCUGCUGGGCACACCAACCAUGGAGGAUAUGCGUCACGCCUGCGAGGGAGCACGCACUCACAUGUUGCGCCGGGCGCCCAAGCCGCCCUCCUUCUCGGUGCUCUACACACUCAGCUCACAUGCCACGCACGAGGCGGUGCACCUGCUCUGCCAGAUGCUCGUCUUCGAUCCGGAUAAGCGUAUCUCGGUGACAGAUGCCCUGGCGCAUCCGUAUCUGGAUGAGGGACGUCUGCGGUACCACUCGUGCAUGUGCAAGUGCUGCUUCACUACCUCAGCCGGAAUGCGUCAGUAUACGGCUGAUUUCGAGCCUUCCGCCGGCCAGCCCUUUGACGAUCUGUGGGAACGCAAACUCACAUCCGUGCAGCAGGUCAAAGAGGAGAUGCACAAGUUCAUUGCCGAGCAGCUGCAAACGGGUCGUGUGCCGCUGUGCAUCAAUCCACAGAGUGCAGCCUUCAAGAGUUUCGCCAGCCAAUGAGAAUGAGAAAAUCUACUACUACUACCACUACCACUACUACCACUACAACUUGCACUGCUGCUCCUGCCGCUGCUCCAAUCCGCCGCCGCCUACUGCUGCGCUCUCCUCAAGAACCGAUCGAUCCAGAUCCAGAUCCAGAUACAGAUCGAGAUUAUACUAGGCGCGCGAUCUCCUCUCACUAGAACGAAUCGAUAUAGACACGCAGAAGUCACAAGAUACUAUCCGCAAUCUCUGCCUAUUGAUUGACGAAUGAAAAUGAAAAUGAAACUGAAAAUGAUAUUGAUAUUGAUAUUGAAAAUGAAAAUGAAAUCGAUAAUGAAAACGUAAACGAAUACGAAUACGAAAGCACAGCCAAGAUAAAGAUACAAUAAUACAGAUACAGAUACAGAAAAUGAGGCCUCGGGGCGGCAACUGUCUCUCUACUCCUUCUUAGUUCGACUGUGGCACAUCCUUCGGAGCUACCGCCCUCGCCUCAUCAAUGGGAAUGACGGCAAAAUGAGGCGAUUGCUGCCUAAAAUCGAAACAAAAGCAACACAGCCAAACGAUAGACCCUUGCCGCCGAGAAGAAGGAGGAGAGGAGUCGAUUCCCAGUCCAAAAACCCCUCGAAAACCAACCCCAUCCAAAACCAACCAACCCAAUCAAAUCCAGAGAUAACUCAACUCAGCCAGGAACAACUAUUGAAUAAUUUUUAAGCGCCAAACGGCUUUUAAGUGGGCGUUUGUCUGUUUGAAAGUUAAAGCAUUCCACCACCGAAAUUAACUAAAACAAAAACAAACAAUUAUUUAAUAAUACUAUAGACAAACAAAUAUGUAACGUAACUCAACGGAAACUAGUCUAAACAACAAAACUGUAGUUAAAACAGCAGGCAGCAUCGACGCAAAACAAGCAAGUUUAAAGAAAACGAAAAUGUUAAAAAAAAAAAAUGAAAAUUAAUGAGAGAGAGAGGGAGCAGCAGCAGUAGAAUCUACGCACUAAAAACAAAGCGUAUUUAACAAGUAACUAUAAUUUUUUGGCAACAAAGCAGACAUUUUGUUGUGCUUGACAUGAAUUGGAAAUGAAAAUUCAAUUAAAAUGAAAAACAAGAGAAUCGUUUUAUCGUUUUAUGUUAAGCUCCUAUUAAAACUAUGUAUAUGUAAAUUAAUUAGCAACACACACACACAGACAUCGUAUUCAUUAUAUACAAGUAUGCUUAAAUCUUAAAUAUAUCGAUAUAUAUAUUUAAAGUAAAAUAGUUACAAAAUGCACACAAAUCCAACAUUUGUUUGCCAAAAUUUACCUCAAGCGAUAGUCCUUUUCGUCCGCAAACGCAAAAAGGAUCGAUUCAUUUUCUGUUAGCUUACGACAAAAACAUUUAAUAAUGCAAUGUGUAGCUACAGUUAAAUGUGUACUAGGCGCUAAAAGAAAAACAAAAAUUCUUUUGAAAUUUGCAACUAUUUUUAUUUACACCAACGUUUGAAGCUUCAAAUUUGAAACUGGUUUCUAGAAAUAUACUCUAAAUGUAACUGACUGUAACAAAAAAAAUGGUCAGCCCUAACUCAUUAGGAAAAAAGGAAAAAUAUUCGAUGAAAUUAGUUCAAAGUUUCAACUGUCGACUGAACAAAAAUACAAUAUAAAUUAAUAUAUAAAUAUAAAUUAAACAAUUUCAAUCUAAUUUAGUUACGACAAUUUUCGCUUUAAUAAUAGUUUGUUAAGCUUCUUAACCAUUAGUUUCAUAAAUGUAAACUACACAAUAAACAAAACAACAAAUGAAAAACCAACAAGUGGACGACGCACUGCCCCCAGUGAAUGGUUCGAGCGGAUCAAACCCAUCUGGACGGAAAGGAGGCAUCCCAUUGGAGGGAUCCUCUUGGAGUCUCAAGGCGCCGCCCGAACCAAUUCGAUUUUAGUUAUGUUUAAUUUGCUUUUAGUUGAUUACAAUGUAAUAUAGUUUAAUUUUCGACUAACUACACCUCUGACUCUCUCAAUGCUCAUCGCUAUAGACUAUAGCUAAGGUGCAGGACAGGAUCGGUUAUAGAGGAUCAAUUGCUAAGGCCUCGGCUGACCAGAACAUUAAAUAUGUUUAAGACUGAGUUUUCUCAUUUGACGACGACGAUUGAUUGAUUGAGGAUAUGCAAUAUUAUAAUUCGCACUUCACUUAUUUGAAAGAACAAAAAUGAACAUUUUGAUGUAGAUUAAGCACUUAAACGAAAUUAAAAAGCGUAUACCGUGUAUGUGUAUUUGAAUGUCUUUUGUCUUCAAUGUUUAGAGCAAAACAAACGCAUGAAUAUUUAA